rnacentral:rRNA from 1 species
GCCAAUCACAGCCCUAGCACCUAUCAAAAAAAUUAUCUCAACAAACAAAAAAAAACAUUUUAACCUAUCACAGUAUAGGAGAUAGAACAGAUAAGCAGGCGCAAUAACAUUAGUACCGUAAGGGAAAAAUGAAAGACCAAUUAAAAGCACCAAAAAGCAAAGAUUUAACCUUUUACCUUUUGCAUAAUGAUUUAGCCAGUUAAAUCGGACAAAAAGAAUUACGCCCGCCCCCCCGAAAUCAAGUGAGCUACUAUAAAACAGUACACCAGAACCAACUCGUCUAUGUAGCAAAAUAGUGAGAAGAUUUUAUAGUAGAGGUGAAAAGCCAACCGAACUUGAAGAUAGCUGGUUGUCCAAAACAUGAAUUUUAGUUCAACUUUAAAUUUUAAUCAAAGUCCUAACAACCAUAAUUUAAAUUUAAAAUAUAAUCCAAAGAGGGACAACUCUUUAGAUCACGUGAACAAACUUUCUUAGAGGAUAAUGUACAUUAUAACAAACAUUGUGGGCCUAAAAGCAGCCAUCAAUUAAGAAAGCGUUAAAGCUCAAACCUACUUACACCUUAAUACCAACAAUCCUACCAAACUCCCUAACCCCAUAUUGGACGAUUUUAUUAACUUAUAAAAGACAUAAUGCUAAAAUCAGUAACAAGAAAUAAUUCUCCUUGCACAAGCCUACAUUAGUAACGGAACAACCACUAACAAUUAACAAACAAAUAACAAUAAUCACAAACUAGCAAAAUUACUAAUACAUUGUUAACCCAACACAGGAGUGCAUUCAGGAAAGAUUAAAAAGAAUAAAAGGAACUCGGCAAACAAAAACCCCGCCUGUUUACCAAAAACAUCACCUCUAGCAUAUCAAGUAUUAGAGGCACUGCCUGCCCAGUGAGUUAAACUUUAACGGCCGCGGUAUCCUGACCGUGCAAAGGUAGCAUAAUCACUUGUCCCUUAAAUAGAGACUAGUAUGAAUGGCAUAACGAGGGUUUAACUGUCUCUUAUCCUUAAUCAGUGAAAUUGACCUUCCCGUGCAGAGGCGGGAAUAUCCUUACAAGACGAGAAGACCCUAUGGAGCUUAAGAUUCAUAGUCUAACCUAACUUAACAAAACCCUACAUGGAACAAUAUAAUGACUAACUAGACUAUAACCUUUGGUUGGGGUGACCUCGGAGCACAAUAAAACCUCCGAAUGACAUAACUUAGAUCUACUAAUCCAAGUGUGACACCACCAGUAAUUGACCCAUAUAUUGAUCAACGGAACAAGUUACCCUAGGGAUAACAGCGCAAUCCUAUUCAAGAGCCCAUAUCGACAAUUAGGGUUUACGACCUCGAUGUUGGAUCAGGACAUCCAAAUGGUGCAACCGCUAUUAACGGUUCGUUUGUUCAACGAUUAAAGUCCUACGUGAUCUGAGUUCAGACCGGAGAAAUCCAGGUCGGUUUCUAUCUGUAUAUUAAUUUCUCCCAGUACGAAAGGACAAGAGAAAUAAGGCCUACGCUACUAACGAGCCUUAGAAAUAAGAUAUGAAUAUAUCUAAAUAUCUUAAUUCAAUAACUUUAUGCUCUAGAAAAGAGCUA